rnacentral:rRNA from 1 species
GGUUGUGAUCAUACCAGCACUAAUGCACCGGAUCCCAUCAGAACUCCGCAGUUAAGCGUGCUUGGGCGAGAGUAGUACCCGGAUGGGUGACCCCCUGGGAAGUCCUCGUGUUGCAACCCUC